rnacentral:sRNA from 1 species
ACUGUGCUUUAGUUGAAAAGGGUUUUGUGACUUUUCCACUCGAUUGCCGCCAAGCGGGCUAUUACGCCGCUUCUGACCCCACCGUGGAGACGCGGAGACGAGAGUGACCAUGCCUUCUUCGGAGCGAGCUGUCUCCAUCAUCCGCUAACGCGCCACCUUUAAAAAACAGGCACAACGCGCAAGCGACAAAGUCAGAGGCAGAGAGCGGCGGAGCACAUGAUAGAAGAGGUCGAGAGGCACAUUCAGCGCCAGGUCUGAGCAGAGGGCGGGGUGCAGGCGGAAUGGCCCUCGUGCCCUAUGAGGAGACCACGGAAUUUGGGUUGCAGAAAUUCCACAAGCCUCUUGCAACUUUUUCCUUUGCAAACCACACGAUCCAGAUCCGGCAGGACUGGAGACACCUGGGAGUCGCAGCGGUGGUUUGGGAUGCGGCCAUCGUUCUUUCCACGUAUCUGGAGAUGGGAGCUGUGGAGCUCAGGGGCCGCUCUGCCGUGGAGCUGGGUGCUGGCACGGGGCUGGUGGGCAUAGUGGCUGCCCUGCUGGACGGAGUCUCACUCUGUUG